GCCAAUGAGAGGAACAGGAGGAAUGACAGGCCUCGCAACUUUGACCGGUCAAGAAAUUUCGAAAGAAGAAGAGAGAACAUGCAGAGCAACCGUGGACCACCAGUUAUGGGCGGUCCACCACCACCCAUGGGCGGCCCACCACCACCACCUAACUACUUGGGUGGUCCACCACCCAACAACAUGGGCGGACCACCACCCAAUAUGGGAGGUGGCCCACCACCCAAUAACAUGGGAGGAGGUCCACCACCCAGUAACAUGGGGUAUGGAGGUCCUCAGUCCAACAACUGGAAUGGACCACCACCACCUUACAAUGGAGGGCCGCCAAACAUGGGAGGAGGAAUGAGGCCCCCGCCUCCUAAUUACCAGCAGCAGGGAGGAUGGAAUGCACAGAACAAUGGAGGACCAGGGUAUCAAGGGCAAAAUAGUAAUUAUCCUCCUCCUCCUCCUCCUCCAC
rnacentral:lncRNA from 1 species